GCUCCCUUUCUUACUCAUUGUUCCAAGAAACCGAGAGAGAGGCUCUGUUUUUUGGCCAGAAAACCAGAGGUCGCUCGCUUGAGGGAGUCGAAGGUGAGAUCAGAAGGUGGGGUUUGGCUUUGCUUGCAGAGGUUGAGGACAGAUGGAAGGUUUAUGAAAGCCUAGUUGGGCAGCGUCUAUAUGCGAGACGGACCAGGCUUAGGCUCCGAUCUUGAACGGUAAAAGGAGGCCGGCGAAAGGCUUCAGAUUCGCAAGAGAAGUCCGGUCGAAGGCCACUGAUUUGUUGCUUGUAUUCCUAGACAAAGAAAGCAAUCUGGUUUGUUUCUUGUUUGAGACGGGCCGAAGAAGCCGAGAAAUUGGAACCGGUUAGCGUCUCCCCAAAAGCGUGUGUCCCAGCCCUCAGUUGUUUUGUUCUUUUUAUGUAUUGAAGCAGCAGUUGUUCCCACGAAAGAGGGCCACUUCGACGACGUGGGUAGCGAUUUCACAAGCAUGCUCAUGAUGCCGGAUAAAAAAAAAUGAAUAGGCAGAUUAGCAGGAAUGAAUAUGAGAAGACUCAUCACCUCUUUGAGUGAAUCUAGCAGAAACUGAUGACAAGAACUCAUCAUCUUUGCAGUGACGUUCAAUUCCUCUCCCUAAGAACAUGCAAGCUGUUCCAUGCGAAAUUUGAUCGGCCUCAACCGUGUACUCGAAACUUGAACGAAAGCAGAUGUGGCCAUGAAGUUCUGCAGCUAUCAAUCAUUCUCAUGCUACAGAUUCUUGGACCAGCAUUGUGUAGUACAACUUCAUAAAAACUCUCUCUUAUUGCCUAAAGAAGUAGAUAAUUUAUAAAUUAAAGCAGCUGUACUUAUAAAAAUGAGAAAAAAAAUAAACAGAUAUUAAAUGUGGUGUUGGUAGUUGGCGUUUGAUGAUAUAUAUAAGUGUACAGUUUCGUUGGAUGCAAGGUAUCAGAUCUGGCUAAGUAGCCCGUAGCAAGCCCCAAGUCCAAAGUGUCAUUAUCCAUACAGAUCUCUGAUGAAGACCUGACAUUACUCUUCAGCGUCAGUGUCCUCUUGAAUUGGACCACUGCACCAACCAGACUCCAUCUUGCUUAAUAGUUUUCCUUUUUUUUUUUUUUGUUCCUGUUUGAUAAGUAUUAUUUCUUGUGAUUAAUUAAGCAGCUGCUGGCCUGGUACCAAAAACAAAGGGAAAAGAAAGGAAGGAAAACUCGCGGUGAGGUUACCAUGUAAUGAUAUUUCUGUCUCAUUCGUUCCUAUCUUGCAUGGUAAAGCAGAUUGAGACAAGAUGCUUGCAAGACUAAGAGAUAUUAUAUUACAGGAAACAAAAUUCUUAAUGAAUGGAGUGUUUAAUAUUAA